AAGAGAUUUUUAGGAGAGUUUAGUGGAAGAAAAAUAAAAAGAACGAGAAGGGGAAGAAAGCUUUCAGCAAAUAGCAUCACAUGUUGUGGAACGAGAAGCAGAAACAAGUUCCCGACUAGAUUAAUUAUUGUAAAGGAAUUAGAUAUCAGUGAAAUUAUUCGUUGACAUGGGUCGUAGGAACUCCACAUGUUAUCAGGGUCAGCGGCUGACGCGUUUUGGCAACCUUCUCCUCCUCAUCAUUUUUGCAUGUAGACAAAUGUAUAAUAUAUAGAGUUGUGAGAGAGUCCCACUACAGUUUAGAAUAUUUUGCAAUAUGUACUUGAUAAAUAUUGUUUUUUGAAAUUAUAUAAUAUGUGUGUUUUAUUUACUUGA